GGUGGGUCCAAGUGCAGUGGUGUUUACCAUUAAUUGAUCACAGCCAGUUACAGAUUUCUUUGUUCCUUCUUCACUCCCAUUGAUUCACUUGACUAGCAGAA
ensembl:Y_RNA Y_RNA Y RNA